AUUGAACGCUGGCGGCAGGCCUAACACAUGCAAGUCGAACGGUAACAGGAAGCAGCUUGCUGCUUCGCUGACGAGUGGCGGACGGGUGAGUAAUGUCUGGGAAGCUGCCUGAUGGAGGGGGAUAACUACUGGAAACGGUAGCUAAUACCGCAUAAUGUCGCAAGACCAAAGAGGGGGACCUUCGGGCCUCUUGCUAUCGGAUGUGCCCAGAUGGGAUUAGCUUGUUGGUGGGGUAACGGCUCACCAAGGCGACGAUCCCUAGCUGGUCUGAGAGGAUGACCAGCCACACUGGAACUGAGACACGGUCCAGACUCCUACGGGAGGCAGCAGUGGGGAAUAUUGCACAAUGGGCGCAAGCCUGAUGCAGCCAUGCCGCGUGUAUGAAGAAGGCCUUCGGGUUGUAAAGUACUUUCAGCGGGGAGGAAGGGAGUAAAGUUAAUACCUUUGCUCAUUGACGUUACCCGCAGAAGAAGCGCCGGCUAACUCCGUG
rnacentral:rRNA from 1 species